rnacentral:lncRNA from 1 species
ACCUUCCCAGCAGCCUCUGCUGGCUCUACCCCAACCAAACAAAGAGGGCAGGAGCUUUUCAAAGAGCAGCCUCCCAAAAAGUUGGGUGCCGCGAAGCCGGUCUGGGCGCGGCCCCGAGCAGGCGGCGGCGGCAGCGAGGCGGUGCCGUCACCUGGGAGGAUCCCGGCAGCCGUCGGCAGUCCCUAGGUACAGGACAGUGCUCUCUCCAGACCCAAGGGCAAGCUCUGCAGCAUCAGCAGUUCCCAUGCAGGAGUUUCUACAUGGGCAUCUCCAGUUCUGCUUGCUGUGACCUUCCAGGCUGCCAAGGAGACGUGAGGCUCUGCCGGGGACCUGCCAGCCUUGUGUGAUGAGCAGCCACUUGCCAGGACUCACACCAAGCUUCCUGGGACACUGAGCUGCUGCUUGGCAUCCUGACUGCUUCUGAUUCCUUGCUGUGCUGCUGGCAGGGUGGGAUUGAUAUCCAGUUUGGGACGCUGGGCAGGGCCAAGCCCGUCACCAUCCUCUGUGCCCUUGGCAGGCUGGGGGACCAAGCUGGACCCCUCACUCUAAGGGGGCUCUGUGUGAGCUGUCCAUAUUCAUCCUCGUGGGAAGAGCCACCUCCUUUCCAUCUGGGAACCGCGUCACUGCUGGAAGCUGGAAAUGGCACCACAUGCACCACGGGCCAGAGCCAGCAGCCUGCCAGCAGGGCAGUAGCUGAGCCUGAGCACCAUCCCCCAGGGCUUGGAGCUGCCUGGGGGGCUGCUGGAGUCCCCAGCACAGGCGUGCCCCAGGAAUGUAGGAGCCGGGAGCAGGAGGGGCCCUGCAGCCAUGGGCCGGCUGGACGACCAUGCCAAGAGGAGGAUCGUGGAGCUGCGUCGGGCUGGGCUGAGCUUCCGCAAGAUCAAGAAGGUGCUGGAGCUGGACGACAUCCGGGUGACGCCGCAGGCCGUGUACCUCUUCCUCAAGAGGAAGAGCGUGGAGCCGGGGCUGGCAGCACCUGGCUGGGACAGAGACCAGCCCUGGCCUCCACUGCAGGGGCACGAGGCUGAGCCCCCCAGGCUGCUGGGCACCCGGCCCCCUGCAGUGCCCCUGGGGGAUCCCACAGGCAGCCAGGACACCAAGGAGAGCAUCCAGAUGGUUAGUGUGGCCUCCCUCUGCAAGGACGAUGGGCAGCUCGGGGACACCCUGCCCGUGGGGCCGGCCCCUGGGAAUGGUGACGACAGCUCCACAGGCACCCUCUUGGCUCCGGGGAGCUGCCCCGCUCUGAGGGGCUUGGCCACCCCCCAUCAGCCACUGCCCAACCAAGGGCAGCUGGUCACACCUCACACCAGGAACCCAGCCCUGGUGGUGAAGAAGACAACUGUGGACAGGGCUGUUCUCUGGCAGAAAAAGGUCAAAGAUGCCAGCACUCAGACUGCCCUGCCGAACCCCGUGGGUCCAGAAAAUCACCAACUUGCUUGGGGUGUGCCAGUGCCCCCCUCUGCUCCCAGUUCCCAAGCCAUUGCUGAGAAGCUGGACACUGUGCAGAUGGAGGUGCAGAGGCUGAGCCAGGCCCUGCACGUGGUGCUGGAGCAGCAGUGCCGCCUGGAGCGCCAGCAGGAGCACCAGCAGCGGCUGCAGCAGGAGGUGCUGAUGACGCUGCAGCAGCUCAGCUCCACCGUGAGCCACGGGGCCGUGCCAUCCAACCAGCCCCGCGGCCCCUUCAGCAGCAUGGCCGAGCCCUCGCCCACCCUGCCCAACUUCAGCCAGUUCAAGAUGGAGCUGAUGUGAGCUCCCGCAGUGCUGGUGCGCUCCAGUGCUCUGCUGAUGGAGCCAGGAGGAAGAACCACCUCUCAGAGGCUGCCCGAGGAUUACGUGCAGCACCCAGCAGAGAAGGUCCCUGGUGCCACGUGUUCUCAGCCCUGGAAGGGGCUGCCUGGCACAAGGGGCUGGGCAGUGGAAGGCUGAGGCUUCACUCCUGUGCUACUCAUCCUGGCUGGUGCUGGAGCUGGCUGGCGGCCCCCUAAGAGGGACACAGCAGGGAGGUGGGACUCAAAGGAAACAUGAGGCUUCCUGCUCAUGAGGGUCAAUCAUGAGUGCUGUGAUGGUCAAUCACAGGAACACCUCCUGUCCUCCCUCUGCAGAACGUUGUUCAGUAAAAACCUAUUUACACCAUGAUUCAGAUCCAGUGGUGGGAUCUCUGUCUUCAUUUUUCCUCGCUCCAGCAGUGAGUAGGCUGGGUCUGUCUGGGUCACUAGCACCAUGGGU